GAUGAACGCUGGCGGCGUGCCUAAUACAUGCAAGUCGAGCGAACAGACGAGGAGCUUGCGCCUCUGACGUUAGCGGCGGACGGGUGAGAAACACGUGGAUAACCUCCCUAUAAGAGUGGGAUAACUUCGGGAAACCGGAGCUAAUACCGGAUAAUAUAUUGAACCGCAGGGUUCAAUAGUGAAAGACGGUUUUGCUGUCAGUUCUAGAUGGAUCCGCGCCGCAUUAGCUAGUUGGUAAGGUAACGGCUUACCAAGGCAACGAGGCGUAGCCGACCUGAGAGGGUGAUCGCCCACACUGGAGCUGGGCCGCGGUCCAGGCUCCUGCGGUAGGCAGCAGUAGGGAACCUGCGGCAGUGGUCGGGAGUCUUGCGGAGCGGGGCCGCGUGAGUGAUAGAGGUCUUCGGAGCGUAAUGCUGUGUUAUUGGUGAAGAACAAAUGUGUAAGUAACUGUGCACGUCGUGACGGUACCUGAUAAGAAAGCCACGGCUAACUACGUG
rnacentral:rRNA from 1 species